rnacentral:rRNA from 1 species
AUUGAACGCUGGCGGCAGGCCUAACACAUGCAAGUCGAGCGGAUGAAGGGAGCUUGCUCCUGGAUUCAGCGGCGGACGGGUGAGUAAUGCCUAGGAAUCUGCCUGGUAGUGGGGGAUAACGUCCGGAAACGGGCGCUAAUACCGCAUACGUCCUGAGGGAGAAAGUGGGGGAUCUUCGGACCUCACGCUAUCAGAUGAGCCUAGGUCGGAUUAGCUAGUUGGUGGGGUAAAGGCCUACCAAGGCGACGAUCCGUAACUGGUCUGAGAGGAUGAUCAGUCACACUGGAACUGAGACACGGUCCAGCCUCCUACGGGAGGCAGCAGUGGGGAAUAUUGGACAAUGGGCGAAAGCCUGAUCCAGCCAUGCCGCGUGUGUGAAGACGGUCUUCGGAUUGUAAAGCACUUUAAGUUGGGAGGAAGGGCAGUAAGUUAAUACCUUGCUGUUUUGACGUUACCAACAGAAUAAGCACCGGCUAACUUCGUG